AUGAAAAUCCCGAGGAAAGUGGCUGAACAACUAAACUUGCCACCAGAAGGUGUAGCUGGCAUUUGCUUCGAAGCUGGAGAGCGCAUGAAUGUUGCAUACCGCACAGAUCGUGAUGGCCGCAUGGUUUUCAACAAGCAGUGGGGUGCCUUUGCAACCCAGAGCAACCUUCAAGAGGGCGACGAUGUUGUUUUCAAUUUCAAACCCAGCAACGAAGGGGGCGUAAACAUCAACACCCUGAAGGAACUUUCUUGUGCUCUUUUUAUGUGUCAAUCAACACAUCGCCUAAUUAGUAUGAGAGAUCUACACUUCUAUGUUCCUUUUUUAUCUAUCUUCUAA
rnacentral:rRNA from 1 species